rnacentral:rRNA from 1 species
AUUGAACGCUGGCGGCAUGCCUUACACAUGCAAGUCGAACGGUAACAGGUCUUCGGAUGCUGACGAGUGGCGAACGGGUGAGUAAUACAUCGGAACGUGCCUAGUAGGGGGGGAUAACUACUCGAAAGAGUGGCUAAUACCGCAUGAGAUCUACGGAUGAAAGCAGGGGAUCGCAAGACCUUGUGCUACUAGAGCGGCCGAUGGCAGAUUAGGUAGUUGGUGGGAUAAAAGCUUACCAAGCCGACGAUCCGUAGCUGGUCUGAGAGGACGAUCAGCCACACUGGGACUGAGACACGGCCCAGACUCCUACGGGAGGCAGCAGUGGGGAAUUUUGGACAAUGGGCGAAAGCCUGAUCCAGCAAUGCCGCGUGCAGGAUGAAGGCCUUCGGGUUGUAAACUGCUUUUGUACGGAACGAAAAGCCCCGGGUUAAUACCCUGGGGUCAUGACGGUACCGUAAGAAUAAGCACCGGCUAACUACGUGCCAGCAGCCGCCGUAA